UGAAUUUGCUAAUGUGAAGGGAGUGAAGAUGGCAGUGAUUGAUGUAAGGAAAGCAGAUGAGGAAGCAGAGUCAAGAGGGAAUAAAAGAGGAACAAAUUAGCCUUGUUGAAGUCAUCCAACUUUGGUUCAACGCGUUCUGGUUUUUGGAGCUUUAGAGGAACCAUAUGCUACUAUUGCCAAUUUAGGCUUCCUGUAGAGAAUUUGACUGGUGCUCGUAUCUCAGAACUCAUGGAAUGAACACAUGGAGAUGGAUGUUAUUUUCAAAGGCAACCCAUCA